ensembl:lncRNA
UAGCUGAUUGGGGGCUAGAUGAGAGUCUAGUCUGUAUUACAACAGUCAAUGCCGCGAACAUGGUGAACGCUGCAGCCCUGAACAAGUGGACCAGAUUGCAUAUGAAUAGUGAGCAAUACAUCCAAACUAUAUGAAUGCUUUAAUAAACAAGAAACUGAAACACAUAAUUAAAAAAAACUGUUACCUGGUUGAAUAUAUCACUGAAGUCUGAGAAGUGGUUGUUGUGGCAGACACUGUGGGUGUAGUGGCUGUGACUGUUGCUGGAACAGCUGUGGUUGCUGUGGGAGAACCUUUAGUUGUGGCAGCUUUUGUGUUGCUGGGAGUACCUGUAAUUGUUGAUACAGCAGCUUUUGAUGUGGUGGGACCAGAUGUGUUAGUCAUGUGAGCAGGUGAAGUUGUUGUUUUUGUAUAAACAAGACCUGUUGUGGAAACAGCUGGAUUUGUGGGGUGUGCUGCAGUUGUGGUGACAGCAGCUUUUUCUGUGGUGGGACCAGAUGUGUUAGUCAUGUGAGCAGGUGAAGUUGUUGUUUGUGUAAAAACAAGACCUGUUGUGGAAACAGCUGGAUUUGUGGGAUGUGCUGCAGUUGUUGUGACAGCAGCUUUUGCUGUGGUGGGACCAGAUGUGUUAGUCAUGUGAGCAGGUGAAAUUGUUGUUUUUGUUAAAACAAGACCUGUUGUGGAAACAGCUGGAUUUGUGGGAUGUGCUUCAGUUGUUGUGACAGCAGCUUUUGCUGUGGUGGGACCAGAUGUGUUAGUCAUGUGAGCAGGUGAAAUUGUUGUUUUUGUUAAAACAAGACCUGUUGUGGAAACAGCUGGAUUUGUGGGAUGUGCUGCAGUUGUUGUGACAGCAGCUUUUGCUGUGGUGGGACCAGAUGUGUUAGUCAUGUGAGCAGGUGAAGUUGUUGUUUUUGUUAAAACAAGACCUGUUGUGGAAACAGCUGGAUUUGUGGGGUGUGCUGCAGUUGUUGUGACAGCAGCUUUUGAUGGAGUAACAAAGGUAGACAUGUCUGAAGGUGAGGAUGAUGCAGCAGCAACUGUUUUUGUGGGAAUAACAACAUUUGUUGUGACAUCAGGCAAUGUUUUUGAUGCAACGUAUGUUGCUGUAGGAGUUGCUGAAAUUCUUCUGACUGUAGCUGUUGUUGUGGUGGGACCAGAAGUGGAGGUCAUGUCAGCAGGCGAGGUUGUUAUUAUUGUGAAAUCUGUUGUAACAAACGCUGAUGUUGUUGUAGCAGUUCUGGUCGUUGUGUGAGCAUAUAUGGUUGCUGUCGAAGAACCUGUUGUUGUGGUAGCUUUUGUGUUAGUGGGAGUUUCUGAAACUGCUGUGACAUCAAGUGAUGUAGUUGUUGGAACAGCUGGUGUUGUGGGGGUUUCUAAAACUGUUGUGACAGCAGCUCUUGAUGUUGUGGGACCAUAUAUGUUUUGUAUGUGAGCGGUUGAGUUUGUGGUGGCAGCAAAUGUGGUUGGUGUAUCAGAUUCUUUUGUUGUUGUUGGAGCUGUGGUGCUCGUUAUAGGAUGAGAUGUGGUUGCUGUUGGAGAGCCAGUUUUUGAGGUAGCUCCUGUGUUGAAGGGAGAAGUUGACAUUGAUGUGAGAUAAGGUGAUGUUGUUGUUGAAACCAAUGUUGUUAUGGGAGUGGUUUUAAUUGUUGUGACAGCAGCUGAUGUUAUUGUUGCGACAACUGGUGUUGUGGAGGUUUUUGAAUUUUUUGUGACAGCGGCUGUUGAUGCCGAGGAUCCAGAUGUGUUAUGAAUGUAAGAAGGUGAGCUUGUUGUGGCAGUAACAGUUGUUAUUCUUGCUGUUGUUGUUUUUGUUCCAGACUCUUUUGUUGUUGAUGUUGGAGCAGUUGUAGUUGUUGUGGAUACAGAUGUGAUUGCUGUGGAAGAACCUGUUUUUGUGAUAGCUCCUGUGUUGAUGGGGGUAGUUGACAUUGAUGUGAGAUCAGGUGAUGUUGUUUUUGGAACAGUUGGUGUUGUGGGGGUUGAUGAAAUUGUUGUGACAGCUGCUGUUGGUGUUGUGGGACCAGAUGUGGUAGAUAUGUUAGCAGGAGAGGUUGUUGUGGCAGCAACUGUUGUUGUUAGUCCAGACUCUGUUGUUGUGGGAGUAGCAGAAAUUGUUGUGACAUCAAGUGAUGUUGUUGUUCCAGCAGAUGUUGUUGUGUGAUUUGCUGAAAUUGUUGUGACAGCAGCUGAUGUGGUUAUGGGACCAGAUGUGGUAGUCAUAUCAGCAGGUGUGGUUGCUGUUUCUGUAAAACCUGUUGUUCCAAACGCUGUUGUUGUUGGUAGAGCUGUUGUGGACAUUGAGGGAACAGAUGUGGUUUCUGUUGGAGAACCUGUUGUUGUGGUAGCCCCUGUGUUGAUGGGUGUAGUUGACAUUGAUGUGAGAUCAGGUGAUGUUGUUGUUUGAACAGCUGGUGUUGUGGGGGUUAAUGAAAUUGUUGUGACAGCCUUCUGUUGGUGUUGUGGGACCAGAUGUGGUAGAUAUUUCAGCAGGAGUGGUUGUGGUGGCAGCAACUGUUGUUGUUGCUCCAGACUCUGUUGUUGUGGGAGUAGCUGAAAUUGUUGUGACAUCAAGUGAUGUUGUUGUUGCAACAGAUGUUGUUGUGGGAUUUACUGAAAUUGUUGUGACAGCAGCUGAUGCUGUUAUGGGACCAGAUGUGGUAGUCAUAUCAGCAGGUGUGGUUGCUGUUUCUGUAAAAACUGUUGUUCCAAAAGCUGUUUUUGUUGGUAGAGCUGUUGUGGUCAUUGAGGGAACAGAUGUGGUUUCUGCUGGUGAACCUGUUGUUGUGGUAGCCCCUGUGUUGAUGGGUGUAGUUGACAUUGAUGUGAGAUCAGGUGAUGUUGUUGUUUGAACAGCUGGUGUUGUGGGGGUUAAUGAAAUUGUUGUGACAGCUUCUGUUGGUGUUGUGGGACCAGAUGUGGUAGAUAUUUUAGCAGGAGUGGUUGUGGUGGCAGCAACUGUUGUUGUUGCUCCAGACUCUGUUGUUGUGGGAGUAGCAGAAAUUGUUGUGACAUCAAGUGAUGUUGUUGUUGCAACAGAUGUUGUUGUGGGAUUUUCUGAAAUUGUUGUGACAGCAGCUGAUGUGGUUAUGGGACCAGAUGUGGUAGUCAUAUCAGCAGGUGUGGUUGCUGUUUCUGUAAAAACUGUUGUUCCAAACGCUGUUGUUGUUGGUAGAGCUGUUGUGGUCAUUGAGGGAACAGAUGUGGUUUCUGUUGGAGAACCUGUUGUUGUGGUAGCCCCUGUGUUGAUGGGUGUAGUUGACAUUGAUGUGAGAUCAGGUGAUGUUGUUGUUUGAACAGCUGGUGUUGUGGGGGUUAAUGAAAUUGUUGUGACAGCUUCUGUUGGUGUUGUGGGACCAGAUGUGGUAGAUAUUUCAGCAGGAGUGGUUGUGGUGGCAGCAACUGUUGUUGUUGCUCCAGACUCUGUUGUUGUGGGAGUAGAAGAAAUUGUUGUGACAUCAAGUGAUGUUG